CCCUAGUAACUGCGAGUGAACCGGGAAAAGCUCAAAUUUUGAAUCUGGCGGUCUUCGUGGCCGUCCGAGUUGUAAUCUAGAGAAGCGUCUUCCGCGCUGGACCGUGUAUAAGUUUCCUGGAAUGGAACGUCGUAGAGGGUGAGAAUCCCGUCUUUGACACGGACUACCAGGGCUAUGUGAUGCGCUCUCGACGAGUCGAGUUGUUUGGGAAUGCAGCUCAAAUAGGGUGGUAAAUUCCAUCUAAAGCUAAAUACAGGCGAGAGACCGAUAGCGAACAAGUACCGUGAGGGAAAGAUGAAAAGAACUUUGGAAAGAGAGUUAAACAGUACGUGAAAUUGCUGAAAGGGAAACGCUUGAUGUCAGUCGCGUCGUCCGGGGAUCAGCCUCGCUUUUUUGCUUGGCGUACUUCCUGGUCGACGGGUCAGCAUCAGUUUCGUUCGUCGGAAAAUGGCUCGAGGAAUGUGGCACUUCUAGGAGUGUGUUAUAGACUCGSGUCGAAUACGACGUUUGGGACUGAGGAACUCAGCACGACCUUAGGGUUCGGGGCUUAGGCCCACGUUAACGUGCUUAGGAUGCUGGCAUAAUGGCCUUAAGCGACCCGUCUUGAAACACGGACCAAGGAGUCUAACUCGCAUGCGAGUGUUUGGGCGAUUAAA
rnacentral:rRNA from 1 species